GACGAACGCGGGCGGCGUGCUUAACACAUGCAAGUCGAACGGGAUGAUCUUAAAGCUUGCUUUUAGAGAAUCUAGUGGCAAACGGGUGAGUAACACGUAGACAACCUGCCGACAGGAUGGGGACAACAUUCCGAAAGGAAUGCUAAUACCGAAUGAAGUCGAGGGAAGGCAUCUUCCUUCGAUGAAAGAUGGCCUCUUUUUAUGCUAUCACCUGUUGAUGGGUCUGCGUCUGAUUAGCUAGUUGGUGAGGUAACGGCUCACCAAGGCGACGAUCAGUAGCCGGUCUGAGAGGAUGAACGGCCACAUUGGGACUGAGACACGGCCCAGACUCCUACGGGAGGCAGCAGUGGGGAAUCUUCCGCAAUGGGCGCAAGCCUGACGGAGCAACGCCGCGUGAGUGAAGAAGGUCUUCGGAUCGUAAAGCUCUGUUGACGGGGACGAACGUGCGGAGUGCGAAUAGCGCUUUGUAAUGACGGACCUGUCGGAGAAGCCAC
rnacentral:rRNA from 1 species